UGAAUUUCAGAUGUACUGGUGAAGAAUUCUUGAUAAUCCAGGGCCUUGAUCUCUCGCCUUGAAGCAUAUGGAAGAACAUUCUGAGUUUAGCUUGUAUGAUGAUUAUCUUCCUCACAAUUGUCUAUCUAAAACUGUUAUUUCUUAAAAAACAUUCUUAAAUUCCUCUGUAAUUUUGUAUGAAUUACCCUUGAUGAACCCAGCCUAAUUCCAUUUUAUGUUAGGGAGCCAUCUCAUCACAAAGUCAUGAAAAGUUAAUUUCUUUUUUCCUAUAAAUUACUGCAAUUUCUAAACUUGUUUGGAAUUCCUGCCCAUGCCUUGAACUCACGCAGGCCUGGCUCCCCCUGACCAGAUAACAACCCUCUCUGAAAUCUCAGCAAUGCCUCAUAAAUUCUGAUAUUGGGAUCUAAAUUUAUUCCCUACCUUGAAAUGUUAAGCCAUGUAGAUCAUUAACUUACUAACUGCCUUUGUAUUAUGCUUGUCAAAAUCCUGUUAUCUGUAAGUUAUCAAUAGACCCCCCUUUGCAACUUUUUGUGCUAUAAAACCUUGUUCCUGGAGAGCUGGGUUGCUGAUCUCUAGCCUGUGUUAGGAGAGAUAGCUGCUGAUCAGCUUUCUUUACGUACACAAAUACAAGCUUGCUUUAAUUUGAUUUAAAAUUGGAGUUGAUGGUCUUUUCUUUGCAUUGGGAUUCAACACCCUCACAUUAAAAAGAUCACCUUGAUUUAUGUUAAGUAUCCAAAAAGAUUUUAUAUUAUUUUCU
rnacentral:lncRNA from 1 species